UCCAUUGAAGAACUGAACUUCUUCAAAAGUUUUUGGACUAGGAAGAUUGCUGAUAAUGGAAGGAUGCAUCAGAAGAAAUAAAUAAAGGGCUGUUGUUCCUACAACAACAAAAAGAGAUGCCAUUAGGAAAUAGUAAAAAAAUCUCCACCUUUGACCUUAUUCAUUCAAGAAAGUACUUUAAAUCAAUGCAUGCUGAGAUAUACAGGAAAAUUAGAUUACCUUUUAUAAGGAAGUUGCCUGUUGAUGAAAAGCCUGUGUAAGCACAAGGGGCUUUCAGAGGGAUGUGGGAUACGUGCAGACUCUUCUGCUUUUUGAGCUUUUGUCAUUUCCAAACCCUGAAUUCUGCUGUGUGAUACAAGCCUGAUAUUGCUGCUGAAGGCAUUGCUUGCUUGACUCUGUAUUUAAACCUCUGAGGCAAUUAGGCCUGCACAUCUUUGUUUUCAAACUAUUCAUGUUGCACAAAACUUCUCAAAAGCAUUAACUGUGGGACUAUGUUUUUGUUGCUCCCAGAACUGUCUUUUUGCCCUCUGUGCAUUUGUUCUGGGGGUCUGCUACUGAGGAAUAAAAAUUCUGUUUCAAUGCUAUUAAGCCUGUAUGUGGAAAAGAUUCUUAUUUCAACAAAUGGCUUGUAAUUGGAGGAGGAAGAAGAUGUGAUAUUACCUGCCAAAGAGGGUCUGUCUGCUCUGGAAAGAGCUCAAAGUACUUCUGAGCCAGCUGAACGGGGGGCAGUGUCUGCAGGUUCAGG